rnacentral:rRNA from 2 species
UGCUAUACAUGCAGUCGAACGAGUUCUGAUUAUUGAAAGGUGCUUGCAUCUUGAUUUAAUUUUGAACGAGUGGCGGACGGGUGAGUAACACGUGGGUAACCUGCCCUUAAGUGGGGGAUAACAUUUGGAAACAGAUGCUAAUACCGCAUAAAUCCAAGAACCGCAUGGUUCUUGGCUGAAAGAUGGCGUAAGCUAUCGCUUUUGGAUGGACCCGCGGCGUAUUAGCUAGUUGGUGAGGUAACGGCUCACCAAGGCAAUGAUACGUAGCCGAACUGAGAGGUUGAUCGGCCACAUUGGGACUGAGACACGGCCCAAACUCCUACGGGAGGCAGCAGUAGGGAAUCUUCCACAAUGGACGCAAGUCUGAUGGAGCAACGCCGCGUGAGUGAAGAAGGCUUUCGGGUCGUAAAACUCUGUUGUUGGAGAAGAAUGGUCGGCAGAGUAACUGUUGUCGGCGUGACGGUAUCCAACCAGAAAGCCACGGCUAACUACGUGCCAGCAGCCGCGGUAAUACGUAGGUGGCAAGCGUUAUCCGGAUUUAUUGGGCGUAAAGCGAGCGCAGGCGGUUUUUUAAGUCUGAUGUGAAAGCCCUCGGCUUAACCGAGGAAGUGCAUCGGAAACUGGGAAACUUGAGUGCAGAAGAGGACAGUGGAACUCCAUGUGUAGCGGUGAAAUGCGUAGAUAUAUGGAAGAACACCAGUGGCGAAGGCGGCUGUCUGGUCUGUAACUGACGCUGAGGCUCGAAAGCAUGGGUAGCGAACAGGAUUAGAUACCCUGGUAGUCCAUGCCGUAAACGAUGAAUGCUAGGUGUUGGAGGGUUUCCGCCCUUCAGUGCCGCAGCUAACGCAUUAAGCAUUCCGCCUGGGGAGUACGACCGCAAGGUUGAAACUCAAAGGAAUUGACGGGGGCCCGCACAAGCGGUGGAGCAUGGGGUUUAAUUCUAAACCACGCGAGAGCCUUACCAAGUCUUGACAUCUUUUGAUCA